UACGUAGGGGGCUAGCGUUGUCCGGAUUUAUUGGGCGUAAAGAGCGUGUAGGCGGCCAUACAGGUCCGUUGUGAAAACUCGAGGCUCAACCUCGAGACGUCGAUGGAAACCGUAUGGCUAGAGUCCGGAAGAGGCGAGUGGAACUCCUGGUGUAGCGGUGGAAUGCGCAGAUAUCAGGAAGAACACCAACGGCGAAGGCAGCUCGCUGGGACGGUACUGACGCUGAGACGCGAAAGCGUGGGGAGCGAACAGG
rnacentral:rRNA from 1 species